AGCGAACGCUGGCGGCAGGCUUAACACAUGCAAGUCGAGCGCCCCGCAAGGGGAGCGGCAGGCGGGAGAGUAACACGUGGGAACAUACCUUUUGGUUCGGAACAACUGAGGGAAACUUCAGCUAAUACCGGAUAAGCCCUUACGGGGAAAGAUUUAUCGCCGAAAGAUUGGCCCGCGUCUGAUUAGCUAGUUGGUGAGGUAACGGCUCACCAAGGCGACGAUCAGUAGCUGGUCUGAGAGGAUGAUCAGCCUCACUGGGACUGAGACACGGCCCAGACUCCUACGGGAGGCAGCAGUGGGGAAUAUUGGACAAUGGGGGCAACCCUGAUCCAGCCAUGCCGGGUGAGUGAUGAAGGCCUUAGGGUUGUAAAGCUCUUUUGCCCGGGAAGAUAAUGACGGUACCGGGAGAAUAAGCCCCGGCUAACUUCGUG
rnacentral:rRNA from 1 species